UUCCUUGCAUGACACAACAUAAGUCAUUGAAGAAACUUAAGUGCAAGGGGAAUACUAAAAAAAUGUUAGAUAAUCCUCUUCUUCUAAUUCAGGUUAGAACAUGUGAAUCCCCUAACACACAGUCAUUUGAUUUUAAACAUGAAAUGCAUAUUGCAAACGUUGGAGUUUGACUUUGUGUGUAUGUUAUUUAAGCAUUCUUUAUAAAACUUAUCUCCCGCACGUGUUGUGAAUAUUUGUUUCACUGCAAAUAUUAGAAAGAAAUUGAAACUUCCAAAAGGAUUUUACGGAAAUGCUUUUGUUCUUGUUUCCGCUGAGAGCACAGUGAAGGAUUUAGUGAAUUCUAAUAAUCUAGAUCACUGUAUCAAAUGUGUGCAACAAGCCAAGAGUUAUUUGGAUGAUGAGGAGUAUAUUAGGUCAUCGAUUGAUUUGUUGAAGGACAAAACAUUAAUUGUCAAUGAAUCCACUAAUGUUUUUGUAUCACAAUUAAAUAAAUUAGGGAUUCAAGAUUUGGAUUUUGGAGAAGGGAAGCCUUUUCAUGUGGACACUUUUGAUAUUGAUUUUGGUGUCUUACUUUUACCUGUAAUUGGAGAUCCUAAUGCAGUUAGAGUUAUUACUCCAUUUCCCAAGAAUUUGGUGGACAAAUAUCAUCACUGUAUGACGAAGAUAGAGAGUUGGGAACAAGAUGAAUAAGAUUAUGGUGUGGUUAAUUAACACUAAUAAUUUAGUAUCUCAAUAGUAAUAUCAUAAUCAUAAUUUCUAUGUAUUCUUAGGAAAAUUGAAAAUUCUUAAGAAAAAUAAUUUUGGAGACGAACAAAUGAAUUAAUUUUAUAAUAUAUGUAAUCAAAUAUUUACAUUUAAGUGCAUUACACAAUUGAAUAAUGUUAUUCUGAAUUUGCAUUAACAUAUACGGACUCUUUUUCUUUUUCUUUUUAAAUUUAUCUAUUGAAUGUUUUAUUUUAAAUUAAAUUAGAGUAAACUAGUGAAAUCUAUUUCGCCUAUCAUAUUCAUUCUUUAAUACUCUAUUUUGUUUUAAAAAAGGAAAAAAAUAAAAUGAUAGAAAGAAUAUUAAAAAAUUUCCAUAGUCAAACACCUUUAUUUGAUGGGAGGAAAAACAAUUUCAAGUUGGUCAACAUGAAAAUUGGUUUGGGCUCACCCAAGCAUAAAGAAGAGUCUUUGAUUUUUGAUAAAUGGACAAAAGUAUUUUAAUUCCAAAACUUAUUAUUUGAAUGUUUUAUUUCAAAUUAAAUUAAAAUUAAUAUUUAGUGAAAUCUAUCUCGUCUAUGUGACAUAUUCAUUCUUUAAUACUUUACUUUGUUUGAAAAAUAGGAAAGGAAAUAAAAUGAUAGAAAGAGUACUAAAAAUUUUCCAUAGUGGAACACCUUUAUUUGAUUGGACGAAAAACAAUUUCAAGUUGGUCGAUAUUAAAAUUGGUUUUGGGAUCACCCAAGCAUAAAGAAAAGUCUUAUUUUUUGAUAAAUGCAGAGAACUAUUCUAAUUCCAAAACUUGUUUUAUAGUCAGUUUUAGGCAUAGCAACGAAGCUGGACCGAGACACAUUAAAAAUUAUCAAUCCCGCACCUGCAACUUCAAUACCUCUCAUGUCCCUGUCCAUACAUCUGGAGGAUGACUUUUUAACAUCCACAUCCAACGGGGACAGACUUCUUCAUCCCAUCCCCGCCCCCACUCCAAAAUCUGGUAUCUUUUAUUAUAAAAAAAAAAGUGACUUUUGUUUUUGAAAUUAUUUAUUCAUAGUAUCAAAUUAUAAUCAAUAAUUAGACUAAACAGUAGCAUUCAAUCAAAGUUCUAAAAUACCAAUAAUCAUAAUAAUAAAGUUAUAAUAUCUCAAAAUUAGUUUAAAUUUCCUACAAAUCACAAUAUUUUCAUAAUCUUCAAGCACUUUAGAAGUGAAAAUAUCAAUUCGAACAAAAGAUCCAAAUUAAAAAACAAACUAAUCCAUCAAAAUAACAAAAAUUCCAAAUAAUCAAAACAAAUAAGUUCUAAAUAAGCAUUUUCUAACAAUCAUCUUCAUCUUCAAGGUGGGAGUUGGAAAAAAGUUAAAUAUUAACAUUUAACAUGAACAAUUCAAAUCAAAGACUGUAGAGAAUAAAAUACUUUCAUCGUCAGACUCAUUUUCAUUGAUUAAAAUAACAUUUUUAAUGUCCACUUUAGAAUUCAAAUCACCUAUCAAUAUCAAUAUAGUACAAUAUAAACAAUGAUAAUUUAAGAUUUACAAAACUAUUAGCUAUUUCAAAGAUAUUCAAAUUUAAAUGAAUAAUUUAAAAGAAAUAAUAUUCUUCUCAACGCUCCAUAACCAACUUGUAGCACACAUCAAUGCAUCUAAAGUAGCCCACUAAAGUCGGCUUCGAUGAGGACUUAAGAUAUGUUCGCUUAUACUGAAUGCACAUUCAGAAGCUAUUGUUGAAAUAUAAAUUGCCAAUAUAUCCUCUGCAAUAGCUUGAAGUUUUGGAUAUUUAACACCAUUCAACUUCCUCCAAAAGAAAAUAUCAAAAUAUGGACUUCUUGGAAAAACUUCUUCCUCUAAAUAAACAUCCAACUCUAUUUUGACAAAUGAAGUUCUAGCUCUUUUUGUUUGUGUUUUGUUUUAUUUUUUCUUCUGACUUGCAAAUCAUAGUCUUCUAAACUAUCAUCCUCAACCUUACUAAUGUGGGCAUCCAACAUUUGAGAAUCACAACUAGAACCAUUAUUCAUUUUCAAUUAAUAUUCAUAAAGUAAAUCAUAACAAAACUAUCGGAUCGACAUAAUAUGUUAAUUAGCAGCAUUCCCAUACAACUUAACAUAAUAAUAUUCAAGCAACUCUAUUAUGUAUCUAGAAUACAAAAGAACAACAAUAUAUGGCCUACUUGUAGUUAGGUAUAGUAAUUAACCUAUCAUUCCUCUGUAUUCCUUUUCAUAAAUUGAUUUUUCUUGUUCAUAUUUGUCCAAACUUGAUGAUGGAUGCAUGGGAUUCCAUUUUCAUAUAUUUUAAUUUGUAAGACAAGAAAAUCUCUCAAUUUUCCAAUCAUACUUGAAAAUUCCCCACACAUUUUUUCAUUUGUUGAUCCAAAGAUGAUGUUGCCAACAUAUACUUGAACAAUAAGAAAAUCAUUUUUAUCAUUUGUUUCUAAAAAGUGUAGUAUCAAUUUUGCCUCUAAAAAAACAUUUUUUGAUUAAGAAUGAACUUAGUCUUUCAUAUUAGGUUCUAGUGUCUUGUUUUAGUCCAUACAAAGCUUUAAUAAGUUUAAGGACAUGGUUUGGUUUCUUUUGAUCUUCGAAACCAGGAGAUUGAUGGACAUAUUGUGACACCCUAAAUCCAAAUUAAAAAAAAAAAAAAAAAACGAAAGUAAGAUGCACUAGUUUUUAAAAUAUAAAGUUCAAUACAUCACACUCACACUUGUACAAAACAUUUGAAUAAAAUUUAUUAAUUAAAAAUCAUUUAAUAUCGUCCUUAAUUAGUAGAUUAUAUCUAUUAAAUUUGCAAACGACGUAUAGAAAUAAACAACAUAUAUCUAUUAAAUUUGUAAACAACAUAUAGAAAUAAACAACUUAGUUUGGUACCUUACUUAGUUAUAAUGGGGUACCUUAAUUAGUUACAAUGUUGGUAACUAUUAUUCCUUGAUUGUUUUUCGUUUUUUUUAUAAAUUUUUUUAAGGGGAUUAGUUCUUAAUUGUUGGUUAGAAAUAAAACAACCGAUAGAGAUAAAUGCCUUUGUUUCUCGUUCAAUUCAUCUAACCUCAUAUAGAAAAAUGACAUUUUUUAAAGCUUUCUAAGCUCUCUAACUAACUCUGAAGUACUUGGUUAUGAGGCUUGGUACUAUGCCACCACACAAGGGUGUUCUAUGGUAGCUCCCGAUAUUUGGAGGGCUACCUCCAAGUUACAUAGGAAUUCCCCACUUGAAUACCUCCAAGGUCUAACAAUCUUGCCUUAAGACUCAACAGUAGACCAUCACAAUCAAGCUCAUUCAAUUGUACUUUCCCAACAUCACUAGACUUGUCAGACCCUACCUAUAUGAUGACAAGAUAAUCUCCACUUCAAAGAAAUAAGAUCUAUUUUCUCCCCUCGUUACCUUAGGGUACUUACCCCAUUAAGAUAACCAUCAUCGGCACAUGUCGAAUUCGUCACUAUUCAAUUAAACACAAUUUACAUUUUGUGAUAUUCAUCAAGGUGAUAACAUCAUAAGUCAACAAAUACACAUUGUCAUUGCAUAUUUCCAUAGUCAUAGAAUUAAAUUCAAAAUUUAUCAUCAUAAUACACAAGCUCCAACAAUAUUGAAUUUUCACUCACAAAUAAUAAUACUAGAUUAUUCACACACACCACGUCAAUUGCAACACAAACAAUUACAAUUCAUCAUAUUUAAUAUCAUAUAACAAUAUCUAGGAUGGACAUAAACAAAGUAGAAAAUAAAUAAAAUACACAAUUAUGCAAUAAUUCAACUACCACACGAUCUUCAAAAUUAAAUCAAACAACACCCUAUAAAAGUUUCUAAUUCAUAUUUUAACCUCACCAGAUUCAAGUUUUCUCAUUCGUCAAUUAUUACUCAAAAGGCUUGAACCAUACGUAGCGAGCCUCGAAUGAAUUAUGAGAAAUACGAUUUUCCCGUUCAUCUCACUUAUUUUACACUCAUGAAUUUGAACUCACUCUCACCCCAUACCUCGAUUGGAGAUUUUGUACAACUUGACGAGGCAUAAGGAACUCUGCAGCAACACCGAACAUGAAUACCCAAUCAAUUCCACAUCUCAUUUUUGUCGAUCAUCGUAACUAACAAUUUGUAGACGUAACAAGCAACCCAAAUAAAAUAAAUUAUUUAUCCUUCAUAAUAAAAUCACAAAUAAAGUACCAUAUAAUAUAUAUAAUAUACAAUUAUUAUAUACAAAUAAUGAUGUCCAUGUAAAUUGGAUUAUAUAUUUAAAACUAACAAUAUUUAAAAUUUUUGACAAUAAAAAAAAUUAUAAUAUUCACAAUCAUAUAUUUUCAACUAGCCAAUUAAUAUGAAUAAAUCCAACUUAAAACAAAAACAAAUAUGUUAAAUAUCAUUUACUAUAUAAUACCUCUAUUUGUUUUACGAAACUGAUGUUUAUAUGGUUAAAAUGGAAUAUUCUGGUUAUCUAUUCUAGGUGAAAUUAAAGUUUACAUACAGGAUAAAAGAAAUUUUCACAAAACAUAAAAUUGAAUUUUAAUUUUUAAUAGAAAAUCAUAUCCAUUUUUUGAAAUUAGAAUUAUUAUAAAAAUAUAUCUAAAUGGUUAUAUCAAAUAAGAAUAUAAAACAAUUUUACUAAAUUCAACUUAAUAUAUAUUAUUUAUCCGAUCAGAAUAUGCGUUAUAGACAUAGAUAUAAUAAUUAUUUACACAAAAUACAUAUUAUAAUUAAACUUAAUUUGUAGUUUUAGUCAAAAUUUAUGAUUGACGUUAAGGUUGAAGGAAAAAUCCAAAUAGAAGAUAUAUAGUGGAGAAAGCACUAACCAUGACGAAAAAGAAGAAUCAAAGACUUCAAGAUAGUUUUCAUUAUAGUAAUGGCUCCGUUGUAGCUAAGGUGUUGUUCCCACGGUGAUCUAUUUUUGAAACAUGAAAAUAAAAUAGAUGAGAAUGAAGAGGAAUGCCUGAGGGAUAAGUACCGCCUCAUCUCAUUCCCACUAUCAAUUGAGCUGGCGUAAGUAAUUCUAGAUAAUUACUAAGAUAUAAGUGUAGGUAUAUAAAAUACAUGUGGAAAUAUUGGUAAAUUACAAUUCUACCCACCUUAAAAGAAUUUUGUUCCCGAAAUUCAAGCUACUAAAGAAUAUGAUUUUACUUCACACUUAAUCUUCUAAAAUACAGCGCUUUUUUUAAAAAGCGCUGUAAAAGACCUUCUUAUUUUAUUUUUUAAAAGCCUAUUACAGCGCUUUUUUUAAAAAGCGCUGUAAAAGACCUUCUUAUUUUAUUUUUUAAAAGCCUAUUACAGCGCUUUUUUUAAAAAGCGCUGUAAAAGACCUUCUUAUUUUAUUUUUUAAAAGCCUAUUACAGCGCUUUUUUUAAAAAGCGCUGUAAAAGACCUUCUUAUUUUAUUUUUUAAAAGCCUAUUACAGCGCUUUUUUUAAAAAGCGCUGUAAAAGACCUUCUUAUUUUAUUUUUUAAAAGCCUAUUACAGCGCUUUUUUUAAAAAGCGCUGUAAAAGACCUUCUUAUUUUAUUUUUUAAAAGCCUAUUACAGCGCUUUUUUUAAAAAGCGCUGUAAAAGACCUUCUUAUUUUAUUUUUUAAAAGCCUAUUACAGCGCUUUUUUUAAAAAGCGCUGUAAAAGACCUUCUUAUUUUAUUUUUUAAAAGCCUAUUACAGCGCUUUUUUUAAAAAGCGCUGUAAAAGACCUUCUUAUUUUAUUUUUUAAAAGCCUAUUACAGCGCUUUUUUUAAAAAGCGCUGUAAAAGACCUUCUUAUUUUAUUUUUUAAAAGCCUAUUACAGCGCUUUUUUUAAAAAGCGCUGUAAAAGACCUUCUUAUUUUAUUUUUUAAAAGCCUAUUACAGCGCUUUUUUUAAAAAGCGCUGUAAAAGACCUUCUUAUUUUAUUUUUUAAAAGCCUAUUACAGCGCUUUUUUUAAAAAGCGCUGUAAAAGACCUUCUUAUUUUAUUUUUUAAAAGCCUAUUACAGCGCUUUUUUUAAAAAGCGCUGUAAAAGACCUUCUUAUUUUAUUUUUUAAAAGCCUAUUACAGCGCUUUUUUUAAAAAGCGCUGUAAAAGACCUUCUUAUUUUAUUUUUUAAAAGCCUAUUACAGCGCUUUUUUUAAAAAGCGCUGUAAAAGACCUUCUUAUUUUAUUUUUUAAAAGCCUAUUACAGCGCUUUUUUUAAAAAGCGCUGUAAAAGACCUUCUUAUUUUAUUUUUUAAAAGCCUAUUACAGCGCUUUUUUUAAAAAGCGCUGUAAAAGACCUUCUUAUUUUAUUUUUUAAAAGCCUAUUACAGCGCUUUUUUUAAAAAGCGCUGUAAAAGACCUUCUUAUUUUAUUUUUUAAAAGCCUAUUACAGCGCUUUUUUUAAAAAGCGCUGUAAAAGACCUUCUUAUUUUAUUUUUUAAAAGCCUAUUACAGCGCUUUUUUUAAAAAGCGCUGUAAAAGACCUUCUUAUUUUAUUUUUUAAAAGCCUAUUACAGCGCUUUUUUUAAAAAGCGCUGUAAAAGACCUUCUUAUUUUAUUUUUUAAAAGCCUAUUACAGCGCUUUUUUUAAAAAGCGCUGUAAAAGACCUUCUUAUUUUAUUUUUUAAAAGCCUAUUACAGCGCUUUUUUUAAAAAGCGCUGUAAAAGACCUUCUUAUUUUAUUUUUUAAAAGCCUAUUACAGCGCUUUUUUUAAAAAGCGCUGUAAAAGACCUUCUUAUUUUAUUUUUUAAAAGCCUAUUACAGCGCUUUUUUUAAAAAGCGCUGUAAAAGACCUUCUUAUUUUAUUUUUUAAAAGCCUAUUACAGCGCUUUUUUUAAAAAGCGCUGUAAAAGACCUUCUUAUUUUAUUUUUUAAAAGCCUAUUACAGCGCUUUUUUUAAAAAGCGCUGUAAAAGACCUUCUUAUUUUAUUUUUUAAAAGCCUAUUACAGCGCUUUUUUUAAAAAGCGCUGUAAAAGACCUUCUUAUUUUAUUUUUUAAAAGCCUAUUACAGCGCUUUUUUUAAAAAGCGCUGUAAAAGACCUUCUUAUUUUAUUUUUUAAAAGCCUAUUACAGCGCUUUUUUUAAAAAGCGCUGUAAAAGACCUUCUUAUUUUAUUUUUUAAAAGCCUAUUACAGCGCUUUUUUUAAAAAGCGCUGUAAAAGACCUUCUUAUUUUAUUUUUUAAAAGCCUAUUACAGCGCUUUUUUUAAAAAGCGCUGUAAAAGACCUUCUUAUUUUAUUUUUUAAAAGCCUAUUACAGCGCUUUUUUUAAAAAGCGCUGUAAAAGACCUUCUUAUUUUAUUUUUUAAAAGCCUAUUACAGCGCUUUUUUUAAAAAGCGCUGUAAAAGACCUUCUUAUUUUAUUUUUUAAAAGCCUAUUACAGCGCUUUUUUUAAAAAGCGCUGUAAAAGACCUUCUUAUUUUAUUUUUUAAAAGCCUAUUACAGCGCUUUUUUUAAAAAGCGCUGUAAAAGACCUUCUUAUUUUAUUUUUUAAAAGCCUAUUACAGCGCUUUUUUUAAAAAGCGCUGUAAAAGACCUUCUUAUUUUAUUUUUUAAAAGCCUAUUACAGCGCUUUUUUUAAAAAGCGCUGUAAAAGACCUUCUUAUUUUAUUUUUUAAAAGCCUAUUACAGCGCUUUUUUUAAAAAGCGCUGUAAAAGACCUUCUUAUUUUAUUUUUUAAAAGCCUAUUACAGCGCUUUUUUUAAAAAGCGCUGUAAAAGACCUUCUUAUUUUAUUUUUUAAAAGCCUAUUACAGCGCUUUUUUUAAAAAGCGCUGUAAAAGACCUUCUUAUUUUAUUUUUUAAAAGCCUAUUACAGCGCUUUUUUUAAAAAGCGCUGUAAAAGACCUUCUUAUUUUAUUUUUUAAAAGCCUAUUACAGCGCUUUUUUUAAAAAGCGCUGUAAAAGACCUUCUUAUUUUAUUUUUUAAAAGCCUAUUACAGCGCUUUUUUUAAAAAGCGCUGUAAAAGACCUUCUUAUUUUAUUUUUUAAAAGCCUAUUACAGCGCUUUUUUUAAAAAGCGCUGUAAAAGACCUUCUUAUUUUAUUUUUUAAAAGCCUAUUACAGCGCUUUUUUUAAAAAGCGCUGUAAAAGACCUUCUUAUUUUAUUUUUUAAAAGCCUAUUACAGCGCUUUUUUUAAAAAGCGCUGUAAAAGACCUUCUUAUUUUAUUUUUUAAAAGCCUAUUACAGCGUUUUUUUUAAAAAGCGCUGUAAAAGACCUUCUUAUUUUAUUUUUUAAAAGCCUAUUACAGCGCUUUUUUUAAAAAGCGCUGUAAAAGACCUCUUUAUUUUACUUUUUAAAAGCCUAUUACAGCGCUUCUUUUAAAAAGCGCUGUAAAAGACCUUCUUAUUUUAUUUUUUAAAAGCCUAUUACAACGCUUUUUUUAAAAAGCACUGUAAAAGACCUUCUUAUUUUAUUUUUUAAAAGCCUAUUACAGCGCUUUUUUUAAAGAGCGCUGUAAAAGACCUCCUUAUUUUACUUUUUAAAAGUCUAUUACAGCGCUUCUUUUAAAAAGCGCUGUAAAAGACCUUCUUAUUUUAUUUUUUAAAAGCCUAUUACAGCGCUUUUUUUAAAGAGCGCUGUAAAAGACCUCCUUAUUUUACUUUUAAAAGCCUAUUACAGAGCUUUUUUAAAGAGCGCUGUAAAAGACCUCCUUAUUUUAUUUUUUGAAAGUCUAUUACAGCGCUUUUUUACAAACUUUUUAAAGCGCUUGUCCAAAAGCGCUGUAAAAGACCUCCUUAUUUUUUUUUAAAAACCUUUUUACAGCGCUUUUCCAAAAAGCGCUCUAAUAGGUCCUUUAAUUAUGUGAAAUCAAAGUCUUUUACAACGCUUUUUUUACAGCGCUUGUCAAAAAAGCGCUGUUGUAUCCUCCGUUAUUUUUAAAAUAUCAUACAACAGCGCUUGUAUUUAAUAAGCGCUAUAAAAGACGCGCUAUAAAAUGUCAUUUUUGGCGUAUACAAAUAAUGAUGUCCAUGUAAAUUGGAUUAUAUAUUUAAAACUAACAAUAUUUAAAACUUUUGACAAUAAACAAAAUUAUAAUAUUCACAAUCAUAUAUUUUCAACUAGCCAACGAAUAUGAAUAAAUCCAACUUAAAACAAAAACAAAUAUGUUAAAUAUCAUUUACUAUAUAAUACCUCUAUUUGUUUUACGAAACUGAUGUUUAUAUGGUUAAAAUGGAAUAUUCUGGUUAUCUAUUCUAAGUGAAAUUAAAGUUUAAAUACAGGAUAAAAGAAAUUUUCACAAAACAUAAAAUUGAAUUUUAAUUUUUAAUAGAAAAUCAUAUCCAUUUUUCGAAAUUAGAAUUAUUAUAAAAAUAUAUCUAAAUGGUUAUAUCAAAUAAGAAUAUAAAACAAUUUUACUAGAUUCAACUUAAUAUAUAUUAUUUCUCCGAUCAGAAUAUGCGUUAUAGACAUAGAUAUAAUAAUUAUUUACACAAAAUAUAUAUUAUAUUGGUUGAAGGAAAAAUCCAAAUAGAAGAUAUAUAGUGGAGAAAGCUACUAAAGAAUAUGAUUUUACUUCACACUUAAUCUUCUAAAAGAAUUACAUGGCUCAAAUCCUAGUUUGACCCCUAGUACACUUGCUUAGUUUACGGUUCUUGUGGCUCUACUUCAGAUCAUUCUUGUGGCUCUACUUCAGAUCAAGUAGAAUAACUACAAAAUUCUAAAACUUCCCUCUACUGUUAGAAUUUUAACUUCUCUAAUCAGUAAUUGCUUACAUCAUUGAUAUUCUAACAUUCUAGGACUUAUUAUUAUUAUUAUUAUUGUUGUUAUUAUUAUUAUUAUUAUUAUUAUUAUUAUUAUUAUUAAUCUAAUUUCUUUUUCUCAGUUAUUCGACUACCAACUAUUUUAACAUUCACCUAAUUACGGAUGUGUAUCUUUACCAAGUUCAAUCAGCACGCGGUACAACUAUCUUGGGUUGAAUUUCAAAGAACCAUGUUUCUAAAAUAUCCCAACAAAACUGUUGUCGUACAAUUUCUAGCUAGUCUCAACUUGAGUUAUUGAUUCUCCUUUAUAAAGAACUACAUCUAAGGAAUAUAAAAAGAAGAAAAAAUCCGUAUGACACAAAAUUAAUAAUCAACAAACAUAAUCAUAUUAAAGCAAGGAAACAUUUUUACAUAACAUGUCAUAGUUAAAUUGGUAUUUCACGUUGCAUCCAAUAAAAUAGACAAAAUCAUAGUGAAUAUUGAAAUAAGAGAAAUAAGCAUGCCAAUACUAAUAAGUUGUAUAAUAACAUAUUAUAUUCAAAACACAAUCACAUAAAUAUUUAGAUUGAUAUGGUUUUUGUUCUUGAUGUCGUUUUACUUCUUUGUACCUUUAGCUAAACUUUUGAGCUUGAUAUUCAUUUAUCUUAUGUUUUGGAUUUUGGGAAAUGAUUCAUUUUACUCUUGUCCUUAGAACGAAUCAUCUAGAAUGAUCUUGAUUUGUCCAGGUUGAUAUUUUUAUAAACUAGAAUGAUAUUGUUAUAAACUAGAAUGAUCAUGAUUUACUCAGACUGAUAUUCUUAUAAACCAAAAUGAUAAUGUUAUAAAUCAUAAUGAUGUUGGUAUUGACUUCCAGUUCACUUAAGACAUGAUUUACUUUGAUUUAUAUCAUAUCAUUGAUUGUUGUAUGAGUAUACUUGAUCACCUAUCUUGAAUAAUUCACUCAAGAACACAAGUUUAAUAGCAACACAAUCAAAAUCAAUAUUAGAGAUUAAUUAGUUUCUUUGUUUAUCUUCAAAACACUUAGAGAAUAAUAAUUAGUUUAUUUAAAUAAGGUUUAUAUCAUAGUGUAAUCAUUGAUUGUUGUAUGAGUAUACUUGAUCACCUAUCUUGAAUAAUUCACUCAAGAACACAAGUUAAAUAACCAAAAUCAAGAUUAGAGAUUAAUUAAUUUUUUGUUUAUCUUCAAAACACUUGAUUUGGGAUUUUGUCUCAAUAAUAAUUAGUUUAUUUAAAUAAGAUUUAACUAUUGAAUAGUGACAAUUAAAAUUUCUAAGUCAUAGUCAAUUUAAUUAGUUAAGAUUGAAUAGUUUAAUAAUCUAAGUUAGAAUUUCUAAGUGAUUUUUAUUGUAAUUAGGUUAGAUUUAAAUGUUGGAUAAUUGAAAUGAUAAUUUCUAAGUCAAAAUUAGUUUAAUUAAUUAAGAUUAAACCGUCAUAUUAUGAAAAUUAGAAUUUCUGUGUUAUUGUUUGUUGAAUUAGGUUAGAUUUUAAUUUCAAUGAUCUAACGGUUCAAUAUAAACUAAUUGAAUAAAUUAUGACUUAAAAUUUUGAAUUUUGAUGAUCUAUUGAUUCAAUAUUUAUAGUAUACUUUCAACAACAGAAAAAUCAAUUAAUAGAUUAUAUCUAUUAAAUUUGCAAACAACAUAUAGAAAUAAACAACUUAGUUUAGUACCUUAGUUAUAAUGUGGGUACCUUAAUUAGUUACAAUGUGGGUACUAUUAUUCCUUAAUUGUUUUUCGUUUUUUUAUGAAAAAAUUUAAGGGGAUUAGUUCUUAAUUGUUGAUUAGAAAUAAAUCAAACGACAGAGAUGAAUGCCUUUGUUUCUCGUUCUAUUCAACUAACCUCGUAUAGAAAAACGAGCUUUUUUAAAACUCUCUAAUAAAGUAUAGCAUUAAUUGGGUAAGUAACUAGCAUAGCAAAAAAUCUCUUUUUAUUUGUCAACUAAAACUAGCUAGGCAAAUAUAUUCAGAAAAAAAAAAAUAGUUUAGCAAACAAAAUCUAUAUGGGAAAUACAAUACUAAAAACAAUUUAAAAAUUUAGUGAAUUUGAAUUUUUAUGGAGUAAAAAAUAUUACUUAAAAUUCACGCAUUUUAACAAUUUGAAUUUAGUGACAAAUUAUAACUAAUUUUCCAUCAGAAAGAAAUUUAUAAUUUAUUUGUAAUUAAAAUGCAGUAUUCUCUUGUAAGUAAGGUUUAAUUGGUAAUUUCUAAUACAUAUAUAAUACAUCAUGAUAGAGGAGUCUAAGUCUAAUUAUCACUAAAUUUUUAUACUAAAAAGUAAAAAUAAAAUGCGGUACUAAAUUCAAAAUAUCAUUACCGAAAUCAUAAUGCAAGAAGAAAGACAAGAAACAAUUUGCAAUUUAGUAAACUAUUUUUUUAGUAAAAGUUUUUAAAAUAAUUAUUCUAUAUUAACAAUAAUACAAAAAAUAUUGAAAAAAUGAAUUACAUAUUUCAUUAUGACAGUUGCACUCAAUAUGAAUACCAAUACUGAUCAAUUCUUAUGAUAUCUAAGUUUCUACAUUUUUAUAUUACAAAUUAUAAUUUACAUGUUUAGUUACGACAAUUUCUCUGUAUACAAUCUUAUUGGACAGGGAAGAAUGUACCUUAAAAUUUCGCUAUUUAAGAUAAAUUUUACAUGAACAUAUUUAGCAAAUCCGUUUUAUAUAUCACAUGCUAAAAAAUUAUAUAUUUAUUUUUUUUCAAAAUGCAAAAGUUAUAUAAUAUUAUUACAUAAUUAUUUAGUCUUUAUAGUAUUUAAUUUGUUUUUAAGGUAAUUAAUCUUAGUUUAUUAUGUUAAGUCAAUUCUUGUGAACUAUUUUUAUUUUUUGAUGAUUGUUGGUUAUCGAACCAAAGAGAUGAAUGACUUUGUCUUUCUUUCAAUUCAACUAACCUAUGUGCUAUUUGAAUGCUCUCUAAUACAGACAUUAAUUGAGUUACCAACUAACUUUAGGAAAAAGGGUUAUUUUUGCGUCUCACAAUAUUUAUUAUUAAAAAAAAAUUAUUUAUUUGUUAUUAUCAAUAAUUUUAAAAAUGCGACAAUUAUUUUUCAACUGAGAAAAUAUCAUACUAUGUCUUAAAAAAACAGAAUAUUACUAAAAGGAGAACAUAUGGACUUGAUAUGAUAGGAAUGCAAGUAUUACUUCCAUUUUUUAAUAUAAACAUUUCUUAAUAAAUUUUUGUUGUUGAUAUAGUUAAGUUUAAUAUCCUGCUUCAAGUUUGAAUUCUAGAAAUUGCAGUUGUGUAUAAAUUUACAUACUAAAACAACUAUUUAUCUUUUUUAUUUUUAUUUUUAUUUUUAUUUUUUAUUUUAUUUUUUAUCUUCACUUUUGUCUCUUAUUAUAUGAUCUUUCAACUUUCUUUGCAUUAAUUAUAUUUUUACUAAUAUAAUCUUACUUUUGUCUCUUUCUUUGUUACCAAUUAACUUUAGGAAAGUAGUUCUUUUCGCGUCUCACAGUAUUUGUUAUUAAAAAAAUAAUAAUAAAAGAAACAAAAUAUAAUAAUUUUAUUUAUUUAUUAUUAUUAUCACUUAUUGAUGUAUUGUCAUUACAUUAGAUAUAAAGUUAAAUAAUUUCAAAGUUAGUUAAAUUACAUAAAUUAAAAAAUAUAAUUGAAGAAAAAUGUUGCAUUGAAAAUCAUAAGUCACGAUCUUUUUAAAACAAAUACUUUUCAAAACAUGCAACAAUUAUUUUUGUGCUGAGAAAAUAUCAUAUUUUGUCUAAAAUAAACAUGUUACUAUAACCAAAAGAUCAUAUGAUAGUAAUGCAAAUAUUACCUCCAUCUUCAAAUAUAAAUUGUUCUUCAUAAAUUUUUGUUAUUGAUAUAAGUUGAAUAUUAUAUUUUUAGUUUGAAUUUAAGACAUUGCAGUUGUAUGUAAAUUUACAUACCAAAACAAUUAUUUUUGUCUCUUUUUAUAUGAUAUCUGAACUUUCAUUUGCAUUAAUUAUACUUUUACUAAUAUAAUCAUAAUUAAUUUCUUUCUUUUUUUACAACCAACAAACAUAAACUAAUUCUCUCUUCAAGAGUAAACAUGUAAAAAUAAUAUUUGUUGUUCAAAAUAUUAAUACAACUAAUAACUUUCUUAAUUCACGUGAUUAUUUUCAUGUGAUCUUAUAUUUAGAGACAAAUAUAAUAAAAUACUAUUAAAUAGAAAAUAUAAUAAAAAAUAAUAACUAAUACUACAUUGAAAUGAAAAGGUUCAAUAUUUUGGUAAUUUUUUUUUUUUUUUUGCAAAUACACCCAUCAUCCCUGUAUGUAUCAAUUUUUUAAAUAAUGAAUAAUAUUCUUAUAUCUAAAUAUUAUCGUUACGACAUAUAUUUAUGCAUAAUCAUUCUUAGAGCUAAAUUUUAAAAGACUUAAACUCAAUUAGAUACAAGUUAGCCGAUAGUUGAUAAUUUAUUGGUGAACUAACUUAUAACUAAUAGCUUAUAUCUUGUAAUUAAUAAGUUAAUUAAAGAGUUAAGUAAAGCUAAUAAUUUAAUUAGGUUAAAAAUAUUAAAUGACACAAAAAGAUAUUCAUAAUUAAUAAUACAUUAUAUCAAUUAACUUUUAAAAUAUUUUUAAAGUUAGUAAUUUAAACAAAUUUUUUUUAUCAAAUAGAUAUAUUUUUAUAUUUAUUUAACUAGUUUAUUUAUUUUAAAUUAUAAUAAAUAGAUUAUUUUAAAUUAUUAACUAUUUAAUGUUAUUUAUUUAAUGAUAAUAGAAAAAAUUAAAUUACAUAAAGAGUAUUUGGGAUAUACUAUUAUUGAAAAGGAGAGAAGUGAUUGAUUUUUAUUUAUAUUUCAUUAAAAAAUAUAUAAAAAAAGAUAUAAUUAAUAAAUAAAAAAGUAUAAAUUAUGAUAACCAAAUCUUUUUUGAUUGCAUCGAUGAUAUAUAUAUAUAUAUAUAUAUAUAUAUAGCCCCAAAACUAGGUAUGUCAAGUAUAGGGUGGGUCAUUUUGUAAAAAAAUAAAAUUAAAUAAGUUUAGUCUUUUUAAAUAUAUUAUAUUUUGUUUUUGAUGUCUCAAUUUUUUCUUUAAACAAUAGUACCUUAAAUAUUUUACAACAACAAUUUUGAUCCCUAAUUUUAAGCCAACUAAUGUUUUCAUUCAAAAUUCAAAUGAUAUUUUUUAGGUAUGUUUAGAAAGUUAUAAGAAUCACUCUACAAAAUUUUAAUUUUUUUAAUAAAAGAUGCAUUAAAUAUAAAAUUUUAAGUCCUAAAAACUUAAAAAAAAUCAAACGUGAUUAAUUGUUGGUUAAAAAAUUCUAAAUUUUUGUAUGGAAGGUUCUUAUUAUGUUCUUAACAUGCAUGCCAAAAUCAUUCAAAAUUUAGACAAUAGACAUGAAUUAAUUUAGAAGCAGUGGUCAAAAUUGUUGAUAAAAAUAUUUGAGAGAUUGUUGUUUGAAAAUAAACUAGAGGGGCUAAAAAUGAAAUAUAAUAAAUUUAUAGGAAUAAAAAAAUAUAUUUAACCCAAAAAAGAAUAGUGUGGGAGAUGUGAAAGCAUCUGACUAUUUCACAUAUAUAGAUUAAAAAAAUAUGAUAAAUAAAAUAGAAUGAAGAAUAAUUUUACGAAACUUUCAUUAUAAAUUAUUGGUUGAUUACAAUUAUCAUAAUUGCAUAAUGAAGAGAUAGUAAAUUGAGAUUGAUGUAUAUAGGACAGAAAUGAUAUAUAAUAAGCAAUAAAUACUCUCUCCGUCCUACAAUAAAAUGACUGUAUGCAGAAAUAAAUUCUUUUAAAAUUAUACCUUUUAAUUAAUAUUACUUAUAACAAAGAUAAUUUAACAAAAAAUUAUACUUUUUUUCUUUCAUUAAUAAAUUUUUUUAAUACGAAUGAAUUGAUGAUUAAAUAAGUAAUUCUAAGGGAGUAGUUAAUAGAUUCAUAAUUAACUACACUUCUUCUAUUCUGAUAGUCAUCUAUAAAUAGAAGGGUAUUUCUUUCUCUAACAGUCGCAUUUUCAUUAUCAUCGUUAUAUUCAAGUCCUUAGUUUCAAACCUUGUAAGCUCCAGAUUUAAAUUUAAAAAUUUACAAAAUAAAAAGUAGAAAAAUUAUAAAAAGAUAAAAUUAAGAAUGUAUCAAAGAAUUUAUUUCCCCUUGACAUAUUAUACAUAUGCUUAAAUUAGGGAGCAUCAGGCAUGCAAGGUGCACCCCCUACAAUGUGGUGUGGGUACCUUAAUUAGUUACAAUGUGAGUAACUAUUAAUCCUUAAAUGUUUUUCUUUCCUUUUAUGGAAAAAUGUAAGGUGAUUUAAAGCUCUCUAAUAAAGUAUAGCAUUAAUUGGGUUACUAACUAACAUAGCAACUGCAUUUUUUUACGUCUCUUUUUCUUUGUCAACUAAAAAUUAGCUAGCCAAAUGUAUUUAGAGAGAAAAAAAAAACUAGUUUAGCGGAUCUCAUUUUAAAUGUAUUAUUAUAAAAUAAAAUUAAAAGUAGAAUGUAUAUAAAGUCAUAUUUUUUAAAAUAUCAUAUUAAAUAUCAAAAUAGAACUUAAUUUCAUCGACAUAUUAACUCAUUAACUUACUUAAAUAUAUUUUUAUUAUCUAUUAAAAAUGUUAAUAUGAAACAGACUUUUAAACAGAUCAACAGGUUAUACCAGUCUUUUACCAAGACUCAAAAUUUUUUAUAAGAAAUACUCAUGCCUAGUAAAUCCUAGCUUGGACUAGCAUAUUUCUAGCUCUAAUUGAGAGUCAACUACCACUUCUUCUAUUAUGAUUCUCCUCUAUAAAUAGGAGGAUAUUUCUUUCUCUAACACUCACAUUUUUCGUUAUCAUCAUUAUAAGUUAUUGAAAAGUAAUUAACACUCGUACACAAGAAAGAAAAAUGUCAAAAUCCAUUGAUCUUCCAGAUUGUUACAAUUAUAAGCCACCAAUUACAAUCACCCCAUGUGCACCAACACCAAAUCACUCCCUCUAUCUCUCUAAUCUUGAUGACCUAAUGUACAUCAGGUUUUACAUGCAUUAUGUUUAUAUCUUCAAGAAAUCUGUAGAGGUAGAUACUUUAAAAUCAUCUCUAUCAAGAGUUUUGGUGGAUUACUACCCUUUAGCUGGGAGGUUGAGGACAAGCAGUGAGGAUGAGAACAAGUUGGUGGUGGAUUGCAAUGGAGAAGGUGUUUUGUUUGCUGAGGCUUCCAUGGAUAUCACUGCUGAAGAAUUACUCAUUCCUUGCAUGACACAACAUAAGUCAUUGAAGAAACUUAAGUGCAAGGGGAAUACUAAAAAAAUGUUAGAUAAUCCUCUUCUUCUAAUUCAGGUUAGAACAUGUGAAUCCCCUAACACAGUCAUUUGAUUUAAACAUGAAAUGCAUAUUGCAAGCGUUGGAGUUUUGGUUUUAGAUGUUUAUAUAUGUUUUCUUUACAUCUAUAUCAUAAAGUUCAAAUUUUGGAUAUUAUCAUUUUGUUCAAAUUUUUAUUUUUGGAGAUAUUUGAAAUAUAUCAUACUAAUAAUAUAUAUAUAUAUAUAUAUAUAUCUUUUUACUUACUAUUUAGUGAAAAUGACUAAUUUUAUUCAUAAGCAUUAUAAUUUAGUUCAUUUAAUGUAGAAAACAUUGAAAAAUCACAGUAUUAAUAAAACACAUCUUUUAUCUGAUUGAUGAGUUACAACUAAUUAAAUCAAAUAGUAAAAUUUAUCUUAUAUAUGAUUUAUAUAAGUGUAUUAUAAUUUUUUUCUCAAAUUUUUACAUAGUAGAUAAUUAAGAUACAUAAUAUUAAUAAAAUAUAUAUUUUUCUUUAACUAGUUUAUUAUUGAAAGAUAUUUUUUUAACUACUUAGACCGCUCUUAAACAAAAAGUAGAGCAAUUUUUUCAACUAGAUCAUUUAAAACCAAAAUUUUUUUUAAUUUAUUUCUUCAAAGAAACUUUGUUUAAUAUUAUAUUAAAAUCUAUUUUUCAAACAUCAAAAGAUAAAAGCAAGUUUUUUUAUAAAGACAUGAGUAGUUUGACUUUGUGUGUAUGUUAUAUAAGCAUUCUUAAUAAUUUAAUUUUUCUUAGGUAACAAAGCUUAGUUGCGGAGGAAUGAUCUUGUUCAUAUCGUUAAAUCAUGCUUUGUGGGAUGGCACUGGUAAAUCACAAUUUCUAAAUGAUUGGGCCUAUCUUACCAAAAAUUCCAAUAGUAAUUUGACAAUUAAACCUUAUCAUAAUCGAGAAAUAUUGAAAACUCGAGAACCUCCACAAAUAAAAUUCCCUCACCCAGUAUACAUCAAAGAACCGGGAGAUACUAAUCCUGAACGAAACUUUCUCAUGUGGUUGCUAACCCAGACAAAUGUCCAUACAUCAAUCACCUUUGGAGCCAACGAGAUACUUCGCUUAAGGAAACAAUGUACAACGUCAUUGUUCAAGUACGUCACAGACUUUGAAGUGAUAAUAGCACAUACAUGGCGCUCCGUUACAAAAGCAUUAAACUUAUCUCCCGCACGUGUUGUGAAUAUUUGUUUCACUGCAAAUAUUAGAAAGAAAUUGAAACUUCCAAAAGGAUUUUACGGGAAUGCGUUUGUUCUCGUUUCCGCUGAGAGCACAGUGAAGGAUUUAGUGAAUUCUAAUAAUCUAGAUCACGGUAUAAAAUGUGUGCAACAAGCCAAGAGUUAUUUGGAUGAUGAGGAGUAUAUUAGGUCAUCGAUUGAUUUGUUGAAGGACAAAACAUUAAUUGUCAAUGAAUCCACUAAUGUUUUUGUAUCACAAUUAAAUAAAUUAGGGAUUCAAGAUUUGGAUUUUGGAGAAGGGAAGCCUUUUCAUGUGGACACUUUUGAUAUUAAUUUUGGUGUCUUACUUUUACCUGUAAUUGGAGAUCCUAAUGCAGUUAGAGUUAUUACUCCAUUUCCCAAGAAUUUGGUGGACAAAUAUCAUCACUAUAUGACGAAGAUAGAGAGUUGGGAACAAGAUGAAUAAGAUUAUGGUGUGG
rnacentral:lncRNA from 1 species